rnacentral:siRNA from 1 species
UCACACUAUGUGUUCACACUAUGU